rnacentral:rRNA from 1 species
CUCUGUCACUCCUACGGGAGGCAGCAGUGGGGAAUAUUGCACAAUGGGGGAAACCCUGAUGCAGCCAUGCCGCGUGUGUGAAGAAGGCCUUCGGGUUGUAAAGCACUUUCAGUAGGGAGGAAGGUAGUGUAGUUAACACCUGCAUUAUUUGACGUUACCUACAGAAGAAGCACCGGCUAACUCCGUGCCAGCAGCCGCGGUAAUACGGAGGGUGCGAGCGUUAAUCGGAAUUACUGGGCGUAAAGCGCAUGCAGGUGGUUUGUUAAGUCAGAUGUGAAAGCCCGGGGCUCAACCUCGGAAUUGCAUUUGAAACUGGCAGACUAGAGUACUGUAGAGGGGGUAGAAUUUCAGGUGUAGCGGUGAAAUGCGUAGAGAUCUGAAGGAAUACCGGUGGCGAAGGCGGCCCCCUGGACAGAUACUGACACUCAGAUGCGAAAGCGUGGGGAGCAAACAGGAUUAGAUACCCUGGUAG